rnacentral:tRNA from 1 species
GGAGAAUUACUCAAGAGGCUGAAGAGGACGGUUUGCUAAAUCGUUAGGUCGGGGGUAACCGGCGCGGGGGUUCGAAUCCCCCAUUCUCCG